rnacentral:rRNA from 1 species
UACGUAGGGGGCAAGCGUUGUCCGGAUUUAUUGGGCGUAAAGCGCUCGCAGGUGGUUCAUUGCGUCGUGCGUGAAAGACCCCGGCUCAAUGGGGAGGGUCGUGCGAAACGGGUGAACUAGAGGCCAGUAGGGGGAUGUGGAAUUCCGGGUGUAGUGGUGGAAUGCGUAGAGAUCCGGAGGAACACCAGCGGCGAAGGCGGCAUCCUGGACUGGUCCUGACACUCAGGAGCGAAAGCGUGGGGAGCGAGUCCGG